rnacentral:rRNA from 1 species
CUACGGGGCGCAGCAGUGGGGAAUAUUGGACAAUGGGGGAAACCCUGAUCCAGCAAUGCCGCGUGUGUGAAGAAGGCCUGCGGGUUGUAAAGCACUUUCGGUUGGGAGGACUGCUUCUAGCACUAAUAUUGUUGGAAGUUGACGUUACCUUCAGAAGAAGCACCGGCUAACUCCGUGCCAGCAGCCGCGGUAAUACGGAGGGUGCAAGCGUUAAUCGGAAUUACUGGGCGUAAAGCGCGCGUAGGCGGCUAGAUCAGUCGGGUGUGAAAGCCCCGGGCUUAACCCGGGAACUGCCUCCGGUUACUGUUAGCCUUAGUUCAGGAGGAGGGGGGGGAAUUCCAACUGUAGCGGGUAAAUGCGUUGGUAUGGUGAGGAACACCAAUGGCGAAGGGAGGUCUCUUGGCCGAUACUGACGCCGGGGUGGGAAAGCGGGGGGAGCAAACAGGAUUAGAUACCCGCGUAGUC